rnacentral:misc_RNA from 1 species
AAGUCGUAACAAGGUUUCCGUAGGUGAACCUGCGGAAGGAUCAUUAUCGAUUCAGAGGAUAGGGGGAUGUGCUGGCUCCUCUGGGCACCGUGCACUCCUUCCUUCCUUAACAACCUCUUUCAUUUGACCCUGUGCACCUUUUGUAGGUGGGAGUUCUAAAUUCCCAUCUAUGCUUUUUUGUUGUAAACACCUACCAUUGUGUUUUAUAAAUCUUUUUAAUACCUUUGACAACUUUCAACAAUGGAUCUCUUGGCUCUC